AUGUGGUUUAAUUCGAUGAUACGCGACGGAACCUUACCUGGGCUAGAACGCAUUCGGAAUCAGGCCGAAAGGCCUGCGCCAGCGAUGGCCGCUUGCGAGGUGCUGCAUGGUUGUCGUCAGCUCGUGCCGUGAGGUGUCGGGUUAAGUCCCAUAACGAGCGCAACCCCUACUGCUAGUUGCCAGCGGGUCAUGCCGGGGACUCUAGCGGAACUGCCAGCGUAAGCUGCGAGGAAGGUGGGGAUGACGUCAAAUCAGCACGGCCCUUACGUCCAGGGCUACACACGUGUUACAAUGGCCGGUACAGAGGGCAGCCACCCCGCGAGGGGGCGCGAAUCCCGAAAGCCGGUCCCAGUUCGGAUCGGAGUCUGCAACCCGACUCCGUGAAGCUGGAUUCGCUAGUAAUCGCGCAUCAGCCACGGCGCGGUGAAUACGUUCCCGGGCCUU
rnacentral:rRNA from 1 species